rnacentral:rRNA from 1 species
GUUAGGAAUAUUGGACAAUGGGCGCAAGCCUGAUCCAGCCAUGCCGCGUGAGUGAUGAAGGCCUUCGGGUUGUAAAGCUCUUUAGCCGAUGAUUAUAAUGACUGUAGUCGGAAAAUAAGCCCCGGCUAACUUCGUGCCAGCAGCCGCGGUAAUACGAAGGGGGCGAGCGUUAUUCGGAAUCACUGGGCGUAAAGCGUGCGUAGGCGGCUUUGCAAGUUGGGAGUGAAAGCCCAGGGCUCAACCCUGGAAUUGCUCUCAAAACUGCAAGGCUCGAAUUCGAGAGAGGAUAGCGGAAUUGUCAGUGUAGCAGUGAAAUGCGUAGAUAUUGACAGGAACACCAGUGGCGUAAGCGGCUAUCUGGACCGAUAUUGACGCUGAGGCACGAAAGCGUGGGGAUCAAACAGGAUUAGAAACCCUGGUAGUCC